GACGAACCGAGCGAACGUUAUUCGGAAUCACUGGGCUUAAAGGGCGCGUAGGCGGGCCGUCAAGUCAGGGGUGAAAGCCCCCAGCUCAACUGGGGAAGUGCCUCUGAUACUGACGGACUCGAGGGAGAUAGGGGCGUGCGGAACUUCCGGUGGAGCGGUGAAAUGCGUAGAUAUCGGAAGGAACACCGGUGGCGAAAGCGGCGCGCUGGAUCUCUUCUGACGCUGAGGCGCGAAAGCCAGGGGAGCGAACGGG
rnacentral:rRNA from 1 species